UAUCUUGGAAGACAGGGAGGUGCUGUGAAGUGUGGUCCUUCCCAGCACUUUCCAAGCGAGCUCUUCAGAGAGGACUCCAUCUCUCUUAAAGGGCCCUCCCAGCCCUGAGAAAAGCACAACAGUGUCUGGGGGUCAGCACAGUGGGGAAUGACUCUCUCACUGAAGGGUGGGGUGUUUUUUUGUUGUUGUUGUUUUGCCAAAAUGGCCUCUGCUUGAAAAACAGUGAAGAUCAUUGACUUGGGAGCUCCCUUUAAGGAAACCCUGUCACACAGGCAAGGUAACAUGGUCAGGAAAGGGAUAUUGGAAGCACCUUGAAGAGACAAUCUAAUAUCUGGACUUCAGCUGCACAAAGCAAAUGUGAUUUUGGAUCCAGAUACAGCACAUCCCCUACUUCUCCUGUCUGAGGACUGUAGAAGAGUGAAAAUAGAAGGAGUUCAAGAUGUGUCCGACAAUCCUAAGAGAUUUAGUUAUUGGCAGUGUGUGCUGGGAUGUGAGGGAUUCACAGCAGGGAUACAUUGCUGGGAAGUCAGUGUGGAAAGUGAGGGACAAUGGGCUGUGGGGGUUGCCAGAAACUCAGUGGGGAGAAAGGGCAAAUUCACUUGUGGUCCUGAGGCUGGGAUCUGGGCUCUGCAAAAAUCACCAAAUCGGUACCGCCUUUUCUGUGGGUGCCCUUUAAUUCAGCCCAUUCCAUCUACAAUUGGGGAACUCAAAAGGAUCCGAGUGACUCUGAACCAUGAAGCGGGGCAAGUGGCCUUCUUUGAUGUUGAUUCGAAAGCCCAGAUCUACUCAUUAUCAGAAGCCUCCUUCUCUGGAGCGACUCUUCUCCCCUUCUUUUGGGUUGAUUGUGGAGCUCAGCUGGUGCUCUCUCCCUGAGGCAGUUUGAGUGGGGACCAUUCUAGUCAUUCUAGUGCUCUUCAGGUGUUUGACAAAAUGGAUGUUGUACUCACAUAUAGCAUCACAUAGAGUUCACCCAGAAGUCCUGCCUUGAUGCUGACAUGCUAAAAAGGCCUAUCUCGCACGCACGCACGCACGUAUUAUUCAUGCUUACAACACUUGUCUGUAGUGUCAAAUGCUGUAAGCAUGGUCAAGCGGUUGGGAUAUGUGUGAAGUUUCUCAGUGCAUCAGCACCAGAGUGGGGCUCACCAGCAUGCUUUCAAGACAGUAUACAGGUUUUUUUAAAUAAUAAUAAUAAUAAUAAUAAUAUUGGAAGAGGGCUUCUAUCCUGAAACAACCUCCCUCCUUUUUGUUUGUGUUUGAAGUCGUAGUCUCUCCAUUUUGUUGAGCCAAGAUAAGGAGUGUCUGUGCUCUCUGUUGAUUCGCUGACCUGUGUGGCAGUCCUGAAGCCACCUCCCUCCCUCCCAGCCAAUUUCAAAGUUUCAAAAGGCAAAUCUAUGGAGGGAUUUAAACAAGUACAUGAUUAAAACAAACUGUGGUGAUGUGAUUUUAAGGUAAAGUGUGUCGUCGAUGUCGACUCCUGGCAACCACAGAACCCUGUGGUUGUCUUUGGUAGAAUACAGGAGGGGUUUACCAUUGCCAUCUCCCACACAGUAUGAGAUUAUGCCUCUCAGCACCUUCCUAUAUCGCUGCUGCCUGAUAUCGGUGUUUCCAGCGGGGAUUCGAACUGGCAGCCUCUGGCUUGCUAGUCAAGUCAUUUCCCUGCUGUGCCAUUAGGUGGUACUGUCCCUUUAAGGGGUUGAGAGUAAGAUACCAGAUGAAAGGGAUCAGUGUUUCUGUAAUGUAUAAAAGAGCAGAGAGCAAUGGGAGUUCUUGCUUUGACCGAUUGCUUGCUCUGUUCCUAUGAUGUUUGUACUGUCUUGAAAAGACUGUUGAUAAUAAAGAAC